rnacentral:rRNA from 1 species
UUUUAUUUGAGAGUUUGAUCCUGGCUCAGGAUGAACGCUGGCGGCGUGCCUAACACAUGCAAGUUGAGCGAUUUACUUCGGUAAAGAGCGGCGGACGGGUGAGUAACGCGUGGGUAACCUACCCUGUACACACGGAUAACAUACCGAAAGGUAUGCUAAUACGGGAUAAUAUAUUUGAGAGGCAUCUCUUGAAUAUCAAAGGUGAGCCAGUACAGGAUGGACCCGCGUCUGAUUAGUUAGUUGGUAAGGUAACGGCUUACCAAGGCGACGAUCAGUAGCCGACCUGAGAGGGUGAUCGGCCACAUUGGAACUGAGACACGGUCCAAACUCCUACGGGAGGCAGCAGUGGGGAAUAUUGCACAAU